rnacentral:lncRNA from 1 species
UUACUUGUAAGGGGGCAUCUUACAGGCAAGAGGAGUUAGGUGAAUGUGAAGAGGAAGGAACUACUCUGGGCAGGGGGCUGGGGGACGCUUCGUAGAGGAGGGGGUGUUUGAGCUGGGCCUUGAAGGUCAAAAGGGUUUUGUUAGGUGGGAAAUGGGGGAAGGACAGUCUGAAAGGGUUAGGUACAUUCAAGGAGCCCAGAGAAGGUUCGUGGCUGGAGCAGACGCAUUCGUAGAGUGAAGUCAUGGGAGAGAAGAGGCUGGGAAACUAGAUUGGUUCCAACUCCUAAAGGACCACUGAAGGAGUGUGGGCUGCACGCUGGGUGCAGCAGGUGAGUUUCCUCACUUGGGUUUCACUGUCAGCAUUUUAAAAAGGCAAACUGGUUUUCUUCCUGAGAAGAAUUCAUUGAUUCACUUGUGGCCAGUAAGUCAUCUGGGCCAGAGGUUGGUGGGGAGAUGAUAGGGGUGCAAGUGUCAUCUUCAAUCACAGCAUAACUGCCCUUGCUUUCUUACCUCUCGUUUAGAUAUUUCAAUGCUUGCUCAGGUCCCCUGCGCCCUCCUUCCUUCUCCCUUCCCAGCCAUACUACUUAUGGGAUGACUUUCUCUUUGUAAAAUGACCGUUAGUCUUAUCAAAUUAAUCCCAAAGUAAUACCAUCAAUUUCCCCCUAAAAUACCAACAAGACCCCUGCUUGAAACUGCUUGUACAUUAGAGACAGAGAAGAGUCCAUGAGAAUCAACAUUUUCUGAGGACUCCAACUGUGUGCCAAGAGAGUUCCCCUGCUGGUGCCUCCUCUGUAGUAAAGGAAAGGCUCCUGGGACCACAUUAUCAUUCUCUUCACUCGAGAGAUGAGGACACUGAAAUUCAGAGAGGGGAAGUGAUUUGCCUCAGCUUGUACUAAAGAAACAUUUCAACAGAGAACCCAGUGGAAAUUAUGACAUGUUAUCUUCUCAGAGUCCUGAACUCCCAUCCCUACCUCAGAAGAGACUCCUCUGUUCACAGAAGCUAAAGGCAGUUCCUUCCCAAUGGCAACUAUGUUUGGAUGUUGGAUCUACACUUUCUCAAGCACUGUGAUCUUCAAAUACUGCCAUCCAGGGCCAUGCAGCAAACAAGCAACAGGGAAAUAUCCCACUAUGCAAUCCUAUUUUGAGAUGAUAUUUAGGAUGAGAGAACAUGCAUUAGUUACCUACCAGCUUGACAGGAAUGGAUUUCCAAAUCUGACACACCAUAGCCUGAAUUCUCACCAGUUUGCUCCUGGAAAGGCCCGCUCAUGCAUGAGCCCCUGCCACUCUUCUAAAUAAGCUUCCAGGCAUUACCUGCAUGCUGUGUUCCUGUGGUGGGAUGGCAGUAAUCUCUGCUAAGAUAAACGGGAGCUUCUGUGGAUAAAGCAUAAACGCAGUGAAGUGUGUGUGGCUGGAAGAUUUAAUGCCUCUACAGUGCUUAGAUACAAGUUGAGCUUGGAAUUCCAGAGGUAGAGCACUGCUGAUUGGAGACAUAUUAAGUAAAAUGUACUGUGGAAAUGAGAUAAAACCUUUAUUCUUGCUAAUGAUUGUCAUUGUAUGUAUUCAGGUGUCCAACAAAGGAUUUUAGAAUAAAGUGUGCCUUUAAAGUUUCCCACCUUCUUAAAGCUCCCAAUGAAUUGCAAAGGGCCUGUUUGGAAUGGACUGUAUUAAAUCUACUUCAAAUGAAAACCUUUACACUGAGUGAAAUAUGGUUCAACAAUUCUUAACACAAGGCCUUUACACUUGUGUAGCCCAUUUUGGUUUGGCCUAUCUUGUCACUAGAAUGCUGUCUGAGCUUGGAUUAUUUAUGCCCUAAGAUUUACUUAAAAUUGAAGGGAGUAUUUCCAUUCAUCAACACUAGUUUUGAUAGAUGCUUAAAAGGUGCAGUGAGGUUGAUGAUCCUGAAUACACAAAUUAUUGAUCACCACAUCAAGUUGGAUUUCCCUAAAGAUGUAUGGCUUUCUGACCUUGUGAUUUAC